rnacentral:rRNA from 1 species
CCUACGGGAGGCAGCAGUGGGGGAUAUUGCACAAUGGGGGAAACCCUGAUGCAGCGACGCCGCGUGUGGGAAGACGGUCCUCUGGAUUGUAAACCACUGUCCCCAGGGACGAAGAUGACGGUACCUGGGGAGGAAGCUCCGGCAAACUACGAGCCAGCAGCUGCGGUAAUACGUAGGGAGCGAGCGUUGUCCGGAAUUACUGGGUGUAAGGGGAGCGUAGGCGGGACUGCAUGUUGGGUGUAAAAUCUACCGGCUCAACCGGUAGCCGCACUUGAAACUGCAGUUCUUGAGUGAAGUAGCGGCAGGCGGAAUUCCUAGUGUAGCGGUGAAAUGCGUAGAUAUUAGGAGGAACACCAGUGGCGAAGGCGGCCUGCGGGGCUUUUACUGACGCUGAGGCUCGAAAGUGUGGGGAGCAAACAGGAUUAGAUACCCCAGUAGUC